rnacentral:ncRNA from 1 species
GUUCGAGGACGACCUCGGUGCCGACGAGGACCCGUUCGGGGACGACCUCG